GUUUGCAGCCACAUCACCCUGAACACACCCCUAUCUCAUCCCGAUUUCGAAGCUAAGUAGGGUCGGGCCUGGUUAGUACUUGGAUGGGAGAGAUAGAGCAAGAGAAAGAGAGAAGCAGAGG
rnacentral:rRNA from 1 species